UACGUCGGGUGCCCGCUUUAAUCUUAAUUACUGGGCGUAAAGCGUGCGCAGGCGGUUUUAUAAGACAGUUGUGAAAUCCCCGGGCUCAACCUGGGAACUGCAUCUGUGACUGUAUAGCUAGAGUACGGUAGAGGGGGAUGGAAUUCCGCGUGUAGCAGUGAAAUGCGUAGAUAUGCGGAGGAACACCGAUGGCGAAGGCAAUCCCCUGGACCUGUACUGACGCUCAUGCACGAAAGCGUGGGGAGCAAACAGG
rnacentral:rRNA from 1 species